AACUAACGCUGGCGGCGUGCCUAACACAUGCAAGUCGUACGAGAAGGCCGGCUUCGGCUGGUGAGUAAAGUGGCGCACGGGUGAGUAACGCGUGGAUAAUCUGCCCUUAAGUGUGGAAUAACGUACCGAAAGGUGCGCUAAUACCGCAUAAUGCCUGGCAACACAAGUUGUCCGGCCAAAGAGGGCCUCUGUUUACAAGCUUUCGCUUCAGGAUGAGUCCGCGUACCAUUAGCUUGUUGGUGGGGUAAUGGCCUACCAAGGCUGCGAUGGUUAGCUGGUCUGAGAGGAUGAUCAGCCACACUGGAACUGAGACACGGUCCAGACUCCUACGGGAGCAGCAGUGAGGAUAUUGCGCAAUGGGGCAACCCUGACGCAGCAACGCCGCGUGAGUGAGGAAGGUUUUCGGACUGUAAAGCUCUGUCGAGCGGGAAGAAGUGUACCAUGGCUAAUAUCCAUGAUAUUUGACGGUACCGCUAGAGG
rnacentral:rRNA from 1 species